rnacentral:misc_RNA from 1 species
GAUGAAGAACGCAGCGAAACGCGAUAAGUAAUGUGAAUUGCAGAAUCCAGUGAAUCAUCGAAUCUUUGAACGCACAUUGCGCCCGCCAGUAUUCUGGCGGGCAUGCCUGUUCGAGCGUCAUUACAACCCUCAGGCCCCCGGGCCUGGCGUUGGGGAUCGGCGGAGCCCCCCGUGGGCACACGCCGUCCCCCAAAUACAGUGGCGGUCCCGCCGCAGCUUCCAUCGCGUAGUAGCUAACACCUCGCGACUGGAGAGCGGCGCGGCCACGCCGUAAAACACCCAACUCUUCUGAAGUUGACCUCGAAUCAGGUAGGACUACCCGCUGAACUUAAGCAUAUCAAUAAGCGGAGGA